rnacentral:rRNA from 1 species
GACGAACGCUGGCGGCGUGCUUAACACAUGCAAGUCGAACGAAGUGGCGAACGGGUGAGUAACGCGUAAUCAACCUGCCCUUCAGAGGGGGACAACAGUUGGAAACGACUGCUAAUACCGCAUAAGGAAGGAGGGGGUUGCGUCUGAUUAGCUAGUUGGAGGGGUAACGGCCCACCAAGGAGAUGAUCAGUAGCCGGUCUGAGAGGUUGAGCGGCCACAUUGGUACUGAGACACGGGCCAGACUCUUACGGGAUGCAGCAGUGGGGAAUCUUACGCCAUGGACGAAAGGCUGACGGAGCCACGCCGCGUGAGUGAUGACGGCCUUCGGGUUGUAAAGCUCUGUUAAUCGGGACGCGGUACCGGAAUAGAAAGCCACGGCUAACUACGUGCCAGCAGCCGCGGUAAUUC